rnacentral:lncRNA from 1 species
AGCAAAUUACUACUAUAAAAGAGGGACACUUACAAAUGACUUAGGAAAUGUUCCUAGGCCAUAAAACACCUUCAGCUUCCUAAACAAGAAGACUUCAAACCAUAAGCAGGUUUUCCUGUGAUGCCUGCUGUACUUCUUGUGGUGUCUGUGGUACUUCUCGUGGUGUGUCUAACAUCAAAGCUCAAGCCCUUAUUUAUAGUUCCAAGACGAGACAACAAGUCUGAUUUUCCCGAUGUGGGACUAUGAGACUUGCCAAACUAACAAAUCUCCACCUUGGCAUGUCCCAACAAAACUUGCUCCACCUUCUUCACAAAAGCCCCAACGGGCAAUCACCAACAAUGAACACCAACCAAGUCCAAGCACUGCUUGAACUUGUAAACCGGAACAUGCUUCGUAAGCAUAUCAACUGGAUUGUCCUUCGUAUAAAUUUUCUGAACAAGGACCUUUCCCUCAGCAAUCAACCACUUAGCGGAAUUAUCAAAAGAAACUACAUCUGAAUAGGUAGUAGGCUCACCAACUUCACUUGUCUCUUUUGCAACAGACAAAGCAUAUGCAACCAAAUUUACAUAUCUUUGUGGUGGUCGAAUAUCUCUCAUAUGACCCAAACGCAUAUGCCAUAAUUUGGUGAUGUCAGAAUCAGACAAUGAUGAUGACGAGACUGCAACUGAACCUGUGAUAGUAGUUCCCUGCAGAAUAUACAAGCUACCAGACCUACAUGCUUUCAUAACAAUAAGAGCACUUCUAGAAACUUUCAUAACUCCACCUUCAACUGUGUAUUUACACCCAAGGGACUCUAGGGUGCCUAAAGAGAUGAGAUUCUUUUUCAAAUCAGGAACAUGUCUAACAUUAGUGAGCGUCCUCACAAUACCAUCAUGCAUUUUAAUUCGGAUUGUUCCUCUACCAACAACAUCACAUGCAGCAUUAUUGCCCAUCAAAACAAUUCCACCAUUACAAGAUUCAUAUGUGGAAAACAAAUCCCUAUUGGGACACAUGUGAUAAGAACAACCCAAAUCUAAAAUCCAUUCAUUUUUAGACUUUGUCCUGUCAUCAAUAGCAAAGAAAAUAUUUCCAAAAUUCUCAUCAAAUGCUACACUAGCUUCAGCGGAUUCAGUAGUUUUUUCAACAAAUUUUUCCUUUUGCUUUAAUUUAUUUUUCAAUUUAAAGCAAUCAAUCUUAAUGUGCCCCAUUUUAUGACAAUAUCUGCAUUCCAAAUUUCUAUGUCUGGAUUUAGAUCUAGAUUUAGAUCUACUACUGUCAAAUUCUCUUUUAUCCAUUUUAUCCCUGACAACCAGAUCCUCAGCCUGAUUUCCUCUACUUUCCCCAGUGAUAUCUCUGUCUAUUUGCUCCUUAGAUUUUAGUGCAGAUUUAAUUUCUUGAUACGAAACUGUUUCUUUUCUAUAAAUCAAAGUAUCACGGAAAUGCUUAAAAGAUUGGGGAAGAGAACACAAGAGCAACAAAGCCUUAUCCUCAUCAUCAAAUUUUGCAUCUAUAUUCUCCAAAUCCAUAACCAAAGAAUCAAACUUAUCAAGAUGCGAGAGUAUAGAUGUACCUUCAACCAUCCGAAACAUAUACAGACUCUGCUUCAAGUAGAGAUGAUUCUCCACUGUCCUCUUCAUGUACAAGGCUUUAAGUUUGUCCCACAUGCUCUUAGCCGUAGUCUCCGUAGCUACCUCCCGUAAAACCUCGUCAGAGAGGUUUAGAAUGAUGCUGGAUCGGGCCUUCUUAUCCAUACCCGCAAGAUCUUCCUUUGACGUACCAUCUGGAAUGUUCUCAGCACCCUGAAGUGCCAAAUCAACUCUNNNNNNNNNNNNNNNNNNNNCAUAGGCCAUAAAACACCUUCAGCUUCCUAAACAAGAAGACUUCAAACCAUAAGCAGGUUUUCUUGUGAUGCCUGCUGUACUUCUUGUGGUGUCUGUGGUACUUCUCGUGGUGUGUCUAACAUCAAAGCUCAGGCCCUUAUUUAUAGUUCCAAGACGAGACAACAAGUCUGAUUUUCCCGAUGUGGGACUAUGAGACUUGCCAAACUAACA